AUUUUGAAACCUUGCAAAAUUGUUUUACAAUAAAAAAAUAUAUAAAUAAAGUUUGUUUUCAAAUCUUUUCCAAACCAUCCCCUCGUCCUCUUCUUUGUUUAACAAAAUUCAGCAAGAAAAAGAAAAGAAGGAGCUACUCUAAAGAAGAGGAAAGAAGCCAGGGAACCAACAAUCAGACUGAGUGGCCUUGCUGGUCAUCUUCUAUCACGCAGGGCGCGUGACCACGACGUCCUCCGCGCUGCCGUGCGCUCCUCCUCCACCUCUCCUUUUUACCUGCUCCUUCUUAUCCCCAACCAGAGCCCCAAGUGAACCCUAGCAUCCUCCUCCCUUGGCGCCGCCAUCAUCUCCAACCAACCUCUGUCUUCUCUUCGACGACGGAGAAACUCCGUUAUAGGGACGGUAACACCGUCGCCCCAUCGUUUCCAGCCACCUCUCGCCAAGCUGAGGCCACCUCCAGCUCCGUCGUGCGACCCUGAUCCUCCCCGACACACACGCGCAGCGAAUCGAUCAAGGAGUCGUCGAGUUCUUCGUCUACAUCAUCUCCGACCGCCACGUUCCGGCGAAGUUUCCGGCCAUCUCCAACCUCCUCCCCAGUAUCUGAAACCACCAUAGUCUUCCUGCGCUGACCACAGGGACGGAUCCCCACGGUCUCAGCUUCCUCGUCGUCGAAUCCUUGAAGCAGGAGCAACUCCAGGACGCCUUUCCGUCCAACACGCCGUCGUGCUCGUUCCGGUCGCCGUCGCGAGUUCUUCUUCCUCUGCGUUGUCUGCGUCGUCCCCGAGCUCCACCGCUUCACAUGUGACCUCAUGCAUUUGCUUCUUCCCGGAUAGGAUCGUGAAGUGUUGAUAUGAGAUACGAC